rnacentral:lncRNA from 1 species
CCUCGCCGGGACAACUAUUGAUCCUGCCGCAUUGCCUGAUUCUUCAAUUAAUUUUCGUCACCGCACCAUGAAUCACCAGAUUGCAGCUCUGCCACUUGUGUGCUAUGCGUGUACUCGUGGUCACGUCACUGGAGACGAGUUGCCAUGCGCCGUCACUCUGCUCCUCAUUUACAACGGUAGCUGCCUGACCUCUGUUGCUAGUAACUGUCACUUUAGUGAAGGCUUGUUUUGUGUGGAUUAUUAAUUUUUGGCUGGUUCAAUGUGCAGUCAGUCAUCCACGUUGUGAACUAUUAGUCUACUGUAGCUGAGUGAGAAUCUGCGUCUUGAUGAACUUGUAUCGCACAUUUAGGAGCGAGUGUUUUGAGAACUACGAAUUAGCAUUCGGUGGAACUAUUGCGUUUCCAACCUCUGUUUGUUCUACUUCAACUGCGUCUUAGAUAGUGUCAUCUAGGUGGAAUGUUUGUGUUCAUCUGUUAUUGGUAUUUAUAGGGAAAGAAGUGUUAUCAGAGCAUGAACUGUUAUGUGAAGUGUAUCGUAAGGUUGGUAGGUAUAAGAUUUGCUCCCGCGUAUCUCCCGUUGCAAGUCAAACAUGUUUGUGGCAAUAUUCCCUCUCAUUGCUGCCUUCAUUUCUAGAAUCGCUUAGUUUCAGACUAUGAGGAGUGGAAAACUGCUUUGACCAAAGAUCAGCUGUUGUCAGUUUCAAUAUCGUUGAAGCAAAAUUUUAUUCUUGAAAGUUAAGUGAUGACUGUUCUCUUGUUAUCAUAAACUUUUUUAAAUUCUUUCUGGUCCAACUAUAUUUUUUUAGUUCAAACGCCGGACUUGUUGCAAUGAUGCGUAAAACUGGUUUCUUAGGGCAUUAUGGCUGGCGUGACAUGAGGUGGCGAGUGUGUGCAAAACAAUGGUCAUAUCUAUACGUCACUGUAUCACCGUAUCGUAUUUUACUACAAUGCGUCCGCUGAGUGUUCAUCAAAGGUGAAAAAAUGUGUUCGCAAUUGCAGACGUUACCGUGUAGUUCUCAAGGCUCUUCAUCUCACAAGCCACUACGAGUUGUGUAGAAUAAUCAUUCCUUUACAGACUUGAAAGUUGAUACCAUUUUCUCGGAGUUUGUGAGUACAUAGCUUUAAAAAUUAGAAUUAGAUGACACAAUUUGCUUCAUUGUAUUUAUGCGAAUAAUGUACAGAGAAUGCAUUUGAGUAAAAUUUAGAGGUACGUGCGUAAAUUUACAAUCAAACCGGUUAUUGAUACGCCAGGUUUAAAAAUUAGAGGGACUCCUAUUUUUUAUAGUAAUUUUUCGCACAUUUUGAUCAUCGAAGACAUUUUUAUUGAUUUCGUGCCGUGGUAUGAACGUCGCAAUCUUAUAAGCUAUAACAAAGCCCCGCAGUCAUAGUGACGUUUCAUCAUUGAAUAGAUAUAAGGUAACGCAGGUGAAAUUCUAUUCAAAAGUAUUCUCUGGUCAUCAAUUGCACGUGUAUAGACAAGUUUAAAGAAUGUUGAUGUCGUCUAGGAAAUGGCUAACAUUUCAAGUAUUUUGGAUCUAACAGAUGAGCGAGGUAUAUUUUAUUGAUCAAUUUGGCACGGUUCUAUAGCCAAAAAACGUGUAUCUUAUCAUCACCCUCUGAGUGCCUGUCACGGGUGGUCAAGACCCUAAUCUUAGCUUCGCCGAUUUCAACGAAUAAAUACAUUGGAAUAAGAAAUUUCACCGUUCGAUUAUUGAAUUUCAGGUAAGGUUGUGGGCACAUUUGAAUUUAUGUGUAGUCGUUGACAGAUGCUUUAGGAGUGGGCUUUUUAAUUCUAUCCAUUCGAAGAUUUUUGUAAUAGGUAGAUGAAAAUUACUUAAAUAGCUUUAUUUCGAGAAAUAAUCUACCCGACUGGAAUUUGUAUAGAAUGAUAAAAACUUAAUUUGUCUUGUAUGUUCCCUUGACUCAUACGAGGCUUUUAAUAAUAUUUUGUUGAUUAUUCAAUAUCUAGUUGUAUGCAGCCGAAUUUACUAAAAACUUAUUUGGAGGAUGAAGAAAGACCUAUGUUUUUUCUGAGAUUCAAUGGUGUUAUGGAAAACUUCUGAGAAUUUAUCUGAAAAAUGUUAUACGAAUUUACUCUAUUUUUCCCCAAGAACGACUUCGCAUGAAGAGUUCUUGAAGUUUGACAUGUAAGACGUGUUACUAGGCCACGUUUACUCACAAAUUCGUUCUUUAAUAUAGUAAUAUAGAUUAGCAUUGCGUUGUGAGAUCAUAGCUUAAUUAAUGCUCUGUCAUGUGCUCAGGAUAUUGUGCAGCAAGACAACACUCCUGCGGAGUGAGCGUGUCAAAAUAAAAAUUUUAUUCUACUUUUACCUUUGCUGUUUUAAGAGGACUGUGUUUUUUGGAAGCUUAACUGAGUUUCUAAAAUUUGUUUGAUUUUUUGGUUGUGGAUAUAUAUAUCAUUUUGACCACAAUUUUUGCGAAUUUUGAAUGUCCACUCGUAUACAUGUGCUGAAUUUCCUCCUCAUAUUUGCGCUCUACGCUUUCAACUAUUCACCUUUAUACCUUUUAAUCGAAUUUUAGCAUCUAUCCUCUGAGAAAUACACGUAACUCUUCGAAUGCGUAAACGAUUCAAAAUUGACUCUCUACCAUCCCAUGUAAAUCUGUCCACCAUGCACAUAUUCCGUCCUAUGUAUCCUCCUUUUGUUCUAUCAUUUGUUCCGAAUUGUUUUUCCCUUUAAAAUUUACAUAUCUCUUCUCAUUCAGUCCCGAAUGAGUGGCAAUAACUAUUUUGAUUCUUAGUUUUUUUGGUACUACGCGACAUAUGAUUAAUUUUACUCAUGACGGAGCUGUAUCAAAGUGAUUACUUUCCUUCAAUUUGUAACUAAAUUUGUAGCCGACUCUUGUACUUAAUAUUCCAAUAUCCCAAUAGACAUUCGUGUGUAUACGAUCAGCUUGAGAAGCCUUACGAGCCUCGUGCUCUCUGUACGUCAACCUCAUCGCUCCGUGUUCAUGUCAUCACUUUCUUAAGCAACAAGAAUUACUUCCUGGCAUCCCAGAAUAAUGUAAUUAGAAUAAACAAAAUUAUGUUCACUACCUUUCGUUGCAUUUUUAAUGGAGAAUGUUUUCAUUCUAGGUAAAUUCUACUUUUUUAUUCGUGUAAAUGUUCUCAUUUAUUGUUAUGUUGUCGAAUGAGCCGGGAAGACCGAGCGGCUUCGUGCGCGUCGCCAAGAAUUCACCAAGUUAGACCUCCGUCCAUGACUGUUGAUUGCUGAGCAGCUCUUUUAUACGCCCAGCUACUCUAGUUACUUUAAUGUAUUUGUCCUAAUUUAAAGUCAUUUUUAUUGUCACAAGUAUUUUGUGUUUGAAUUCUGCUUCAGAAUUUAGUUCAAUUCAUGUCAAGAGGCAUAUAGCAUUCAUGUUUAGUAUUUAGAUUGUCGAGCUUGGCAAUGGUCAGAUUGUGAACAUUUGCUGUUGAUGGGUUGCUAUUACUUGUAUUUAAUUUGUAAGAAUUUUAUGUAGUUCAUUUGAUAUAAAGUUAGGAAUAAUUCCCAAGCUUCAAUCAAAUUCUCGAAUUAAGCUUCGACGGCAUGUUAUUGAAAUUUUGACGUGGUUUCUGUACACCACAUUUGUGAUUGAGCUUCCCAAACGUUACGGUGGCUCAGGAACUGGGCGUAUGUUUUUCAUACUCCUAUUUUCAUGCUACCGCAAAUUAAAAGCUAGGAGCUAAUGUCACGGCUAGCUUGUUUCAAUUAUUGCACAAGAAUCUAGCGUAAUGCAAGUCGCAAAUUAGAGAAGGUGUAUUUUUCCAAGAGGAAACUAAAUUUGGUUUCCGAGCUUUUCAACGUGCAGCUUCUCGUUGACAUUUGAAGAUGAGCCCUCACUCUCCACCUUCAUUUCAAUUUAUAGUUUUGGUUACAGUUGGCAUUUCAUCGAGGCUAUCGUCAUUAGCAUCGCAUACAUUCAUACUAUGUGCUCACAUGUUAGGGACAAACCUUAUCGUCACUGUAGAUAUUCCUAACCUACUAUCGCAUCUUUUUCAGGCAUAGCUAUGAAGCCCUCACUUGAAUCUCAUGCUAUUUCACGCUUAUGUUCAGAUAAAGAUGAUUUAAGAGAGUUCAGUAUUCUCUGUUGCUACUCACUAAACUUGAAGUGUCUUCUAAAAGUGACUCUAUGAAUUCACUCAGCUUGAUUCUAUUUUUUUUUAAUGUCUAAACAUAAUACUCGGCAACAUCGAACAGGAACCUUUAACGUGUCGCGCGGUAGGAAGAGAUCGAUACAGCGAGCGCUUGUCGCUGAUGUAGGACUCCCUGUUCUUGCGUGCUUCAUGAAGAUACACGCGUCUUGUCGAGUUGCCUUCUCGUGAAAUUAAUACCGCAGUACGCGCCAUUUUUGAUGGCGCGUCAUGUCCCCUCCUUCCGGGGACGUGGAUGGAGGAGUGUAAUUAGAUGUACAGUGAAACAAAUUAUUGAUGCUCCAGGUUGAAAAUAAAUGUUGCGACUCUCAUAGAAAUGUUUCUAACAUUCUGACUAGCACCAAAGACGAUUAUAUUGGUUGUUCCGUGCUACGGGAUGGAUGUGGGUAUCUUCUCACCUUUUAAAAAGCCUCGCAGUCGUAAUAUUUCGUGAUGUCAUUUAAUAAAUGAAUAUAUUUAGUGGGAAACGUAGACCGAAACUCGCCGUUGUUCAUUUUUUUCUUUUCGUAUCAAUAUGAAAUAUUUGAUGCAUUAUAAUUUUUAGGAUUAUAAAUAGAAUUGUUUUGAUCAUUAUAAAGCAAACGGAAUUCACUGCACCAAAAUAUACUAUCUACUAUAAAUAUUGCAAUAUUUCUGUCAAUUGAGUCGUUGCAAUUUUAACGUUCACUUUAGAGCAUCGAGCAACGCAACUCUCAAGUCUAAGUAACGCAUACUUGACCCUAAUUCACUACACCUUCUUACACUGUGGAUGGCAAAUAAACAGGAAGUCCGUGA